AACGAAUGAUGGAUUGUCGGGAU
rnacentral:siRNA from 1 species